rnacentral:rRNA from 1 species
UGCGGAAGGAUCAUUACAGUAUUCUUUUCAAGCUGAAUCGAUUACUUGUUUUCUGUUAUGGGUUCUUUUGUUUUACUGCGCUGCUGAAAUAUUGCGUGCGCGGUUUAGCAUGGGAGCUUGGAGAAUAAGUUAUCUUUUCAUUCAAAGCUUGGAAAACCUCCUACACACUUUGUUUUCUUAUUAGAGACAAAUUUGCUUUGGUUAUCUGCUGCGUAAAACCAGUGUGAUAGCCAAAGGUUUUAACAAAACUCUUGUUUUUAUUCUUUUCGGAGAAUUGAAAACGUGUAUUUUAAACAAACAGUCAUUAAAUUUAUGGAUUAAUUUCCUAACUAAAAUUUAAAACUUUCAACAACGGAUCUCUUGGUUCUCGCAUCGAUGAAGAACGCAGCGAAAUGCGAUAAGUAAUGUGAAUUGCAGAUUUUCGUGAAUCAUUGAAUCUUUGAACGCACAUUGCGCCCUCUGGUAUUCCGGAGGGCAUGCCUGUUUGAGCGUCAUUUCCUUCUCAAACCCUUUUUUGGGUCUGGUGAUGGGUGAUACUUCUAGCAAUAGAAGUUCGCUUGAAAUGUAUCGGCAUGAGUUUUUGUUUUACAAACUAUAGUUGUUUAUUCAAUGUAUUAGGUUUUAUCCAUCGUUGUAUUAACUUCUAAAGUAUGUAGCAAAGUUUUGGCUCUGCCUAACAAACUUUUAAUCAUAAAGUUUGACCUCAAAUCAGGUAGGACUACCCGCUGAACUU